UUUUUUUAAAAGGUUUGAUUUUAUUUAUUUCAUAGAAAGUGCAAGAGAGUGCACAAGCAGGGGGAGCAGCAGGCAGAGGGAGAAGCAGACUCCCCACUGAGCAGGGGGCCUGAUGUGGGCUUUAUCCCAGGACCCUGGGAUCAUGACCUGAGCCCAAGGUAGAUGUUUAACCCACUGAGCCACGCAGGUGCCCUUUUCAAUCUGUAUUUUUAAAAAGAGAAAGAAAAGAGCCACAGAAUGAGUGACUUAACUCCUUGUUCUGGUGACUAGAAAUCCAAGAUCAAGAUGUUGGCACAAUUGAUUCCUUCUGAAGGCUGAGAAGAUAGCUGCUCCAGGCUUGUUUCCUAACUUCUUACAGUUUUCUGGAAAUCUCUGGUGUUUUGUGCCUUAUAGAAGUUUCACAUGAUGUUUCCAUCCUCUCACAUGGCAUUCUCCCUGUGCAUAUUUGUGUCUAAAUCUCCCUUCCUAUAAGGGCGCUUCCUAAAAAGGUACCAGUUCAUAUCAGAUUAGGAGCUCAUACUACUGUAAUAUGACUUCUCCUUAGCUAAUUACAUCAGCAACAGGAUGGAAUAAGGUCAUAUUUGGAGGUACUAUGAAUAGGACUUCCACAAAUGAAUUUUGGGGGUACAAAAUUUAGCCCAUAAUAUCCCAUUAUCUUUGUGGCUUUCAACAAGCCAGUGACUUCCAUGUUUCUCUAAUAACUAAUGUACCCCAAACGGGAAUGAAUAUGCAUCAAAAAAGAAGUAGUAAAAGGACAAAAUUUAGCAUAGAAAAGUAUUCCCUGAGGGACAUGUAUCUACGUAGAGAAGUUAGAUCUCUGAACAGUAAGGUGUUAGCAACUUCUCAGCAGGAAAUAAACUGGUGAUAAAAUUUGCACAACUUAUUUGUGAGCCCUUUCCUUAGGAUAUUGAUGGCUAUGAGGCAGGAACCUUGGCUAGACUAACUCAUUUUUCAUAGAACUGAUCAUUGAUCUUGUAGUCUUGGAACAGGAGACAACUCCACCCCUUCUCCCUGAUUUGUGUAAGUAAAUCUCUCCAUUAGCUUUGCAGCUUUGUUUUUUUUAAGAUUUUACUUGUUUAUUCAUGAGAGACACACAGAGAGAGAGGCAGAGACACAGGCAGAGGGAAAAGCAGGCUCCACACAGGGACCCCGGGAUGAUGCCCCGGACCGAAGGCAGGUGCUAAACUGCUGAGCCACCCAGGUGUCCCAAGCUUUAACACUGAGGAAUCUAGAAAUAGUUUCCUACUCAAUGUGCCUGAGACCUAAAGCCAAGCAUCUUGAUAUACUAACACUAACAUUAGAGCCAUGGAAGAGUGUCAACUUAUUUGCUGGUUAAAUUACAUAUGGAAAUCAGUUGUGUUGAUGUGACGGUACAGGAAGGACAUUCAGAGAUACUCAGAGUAUUUCAAACACUGAAUGUAGGAAAUUCUAUGUCUCAAGCAAACUGUUUAAAAAUAGCAUCCUAUUUCUUAGAGGCUGAUCAAGUGUACGAUGAGAAUUACACAGUGCAACCAUUGAUCAUUUGUUGUGCGAGAUGCUUUCAUACUAUUUUAAUCCCUACAAGUCCUAUGAGAUAAGCGGCAUUAUCUUCAUUUUUACAGAAGAGAAAACCAAACUUACAAACUGGCAAAGUAGGACAACUUCAAAACUCUUCUUCCACUGCACAUGCUACUAGAGUACUUACGCCUUAAACUUUUCCCAAUUUUUGUUUUGGAAACUGUGUGCCACUAAAUUUCUCACUUGCUUAAAUAUAGGGAGACCUCUGUUCACUAACAGGACCUGAGAGACUAUCAGAUUGAAUGACAGGACAUGUUUUGGCAAAAACUUACACCACCUCAACCUUGAAACCCAGUUUUUGUAAUCUCACUUUUUGUUUUCCUGUGGGGUUAACUCAAAGGCAGUUGUUUGCAAAGGCCUUCUUGUGAAGCCAAGUGCUAAAAUAAGCACCUACUGAACACUGAUGAAAAGCAAGCUAUCAAACCUUUCAAAGCUACAGAAUAACUCGGAUUGCAGAAGAUGCUUGCAAGUAUUAUGCAGCCAAACAAGUUUUUGAGCUCUUUCCUCAUGAUGUUGCGCCAUCAACUCCACCUUUUAUUGGGCGGGCAGGCAAAGCACGGUAAGAUUACUGAGACUUCCCCGGUUUCCCAGGGGUUCACAGGAAUCCACCCAGGAGCUCUGAGGCCUUGCUACUGUCCGACCUGGGCAGCUCUUCCCUCUAGCAAGGCUUUAAGACAGGAGGGACACGAUACUCUGCCUCAAGCAUCUGCCGACGGCUGCGGGUUAACUUUACCCACAUUUUCUCCUGGGAUUUAGGUUAUUGGUAAGAAUGCUUUUCUUCCUGUAAAUCACGGAGACAUUUGUAAACCGAGGGAGGCUCGUGUCUUCCAAGGCUGUAACCUCCAUGCAUCCCCCGAGCCUUGGGGCAGCCUGGGGGGCUGAGGAGGGCGACAGCUCCCCCACCUGCGGGGAGGAUCCGGGGCAACCUGUGGGGUGCGCAGGAGUCAGCUGGUGCUCUGUCCUUAGCUCGCCUUCUGCUCCCUCACCAUGUCCCAAGGCCGGCUGUGACUCACUAUCACAUCCAUACCUCUUUCUGGCAGAACAAGCCUUUUAUUUUCCUCUUCCAACCUAAGUAAAUGUAACACGCAAAAGCUAUGCAUCAAAAGGAAUCAUCAGGAAUCCAUCACUCACUUAAAACAUGCAACCUUGGGACCCCGGGAGGCUCAGUGGCCGGGCAUCUGCCUCUGGCUCAGGUCGUGACCCCGGGGUCCCAGGACCGAGGCCCGCAUCGGGGCCCCGGGAUCCCCGCGGGGAGCCUGCUUCUCCCUCUGCCCGUGUCUCUGCCUGGCUCUCAUGAACAAAUCUUUAAAAAUAAUAAUAAUAAAAGUUAAAAUAAAAACCGCAAGGUUACCGGUACUGGGUUCCCCUCCAGAAAGAAUACCGUGAACCACCGCCGACCCCACCCCCGCGUUUCCUUCAGCGUUGCCAAGUCCCCGUCGCGCCAACUGCCAAGAGGGCUCCCACGCAC
rnacentral:lncRNA from 1 species